GUGUUUGUGACAAGGCCGCGAGGAAAGAGAUAGCAGACCACUUUAGACAGAGAGAAAUUUGGUCAACGUUGACGUAAACAUUAUUGUUUGUUGGUCAUUUGAAGCGUUGUAAGUUUUUUGACAGACGUGUCCUGAUUCUUGUUGUUGUCAUUCGUCACCGGCUGCAGAAUUGUUUAGUUUGAACUGUCAAUGUCGUCGUCGCCCUCCCGUUGUUUACAUCCAACGAUGGGCCAACAUGAUGCCGAGAGAUGACAUGGUUGGAUACUGUUGCAAUCGGUCGUAGUAAGGGAAACCUACACGCACGGCCUCCAGCAGGACCCGCUGCAGGGCCCCUAGAAGGAUCGUCGCCCCCUGGCCGGGGCGGAAGAUGAGCAUGCGAGGGGGCCGCACCGCCAUGAACGCGGCCGGCUACAGGUACAGCUUGAUGGACAUGAUGGAGACGGCGCCCAGCCCGUCGCGGCGCCGGAAGGUCAACUUCUCGAAGCGCGAGGUGCGCGUGCUGCUGCAGGAGGUGGAGCGCCUGCGCGGCCCGCUGCUGGGCAUCGGCCUGGACAGCCACU